rnacentral:rRNA from 1 species
CGCGAACGCUGGCAGCGUGCCUAACACAUGCAAGUCGUGGGGCAGCAGGCGGGUUCCUUUGGAACCCGUGCUGGCGACCGGCGAACGGGUGAGUAACGCGUGAGCAACCUACCCCAAGGAGGGGGAUAACCGGUGGAAACGCCGGCUAAUACCCCAUAAGCGCACGGUCUGCAUGGACUGUGUGAAAAGGGGGCCUCUGCACAGCAAGCUCCCGCCUUGGGAUGGGCUCGCGUCCCAUCAGGUAGUUGGUGAGGUAACGGCUCACCAAGCCUACGACGGGUAGCUGGUCUGAGAGGAUGGCCAGCCACACCGGGACUGAGACACGGCCCGGACUCCUACGGGAGGCAGCAGUGGGGAAUUUUGGGCAAUGGGCGCAAGCCUGACCCAGCGACGCUGCGUGGAGGAAGAAGCCCUUCGGGGUGUAAACUCCUGUCACCGGGGACGAAGCUUAUCAGGGUUAAUAGCCCUGAUGAGUGACGGUACCCGGAGAGGAAGGGACGGCUAACUACGUGCCAGCAGCCGCGGUAAUACGUA